rnacentral:rRNA from 1 species
CAGUAGCCGCGGUAAUACGAAGGGUGCAAGCGUUAAUCGGAAUUACUGGGCGUAAAGCGUGCGUAGGCGGUUUGUUAAGUCUGCUGUGAAAUCCCCGGGCUCAACCUGGGAAUGGCAGUGGAUACUGGCAAGCUAGAGUGUGUCAGAGGAUGGUGGAAUUCCCGGUGUAGCGGUGAAAUGCGUAGAGAUCGGGAGGGACAUCAGUGGCGAAGGCGGCCAUCUGGGACAACACUGACGCUGAGGCACGAAAGCGUGGGGAGCAAACAGGAUUAGAUACCCCUGUAGUCCCUGUCUCUUAUAA